rnacentral:rRNA from 1 species
AGCCACAGCCACCCAACACCCUGCAGCUCAAGACCGGUUACUCACUGAAGCUAAGCAGGUUUGAGCCUGGUCAAUACCUGGAUGGGAGACCACAUGGGAAAACUAGGUUGCUGUUGGAA